rnacentral:rRNA from 1 species
GGGCCCGCACAAGCGGUGGAGCAUGUGGUUUAAUUCGAUGCAACGCGAAGAACCUUACCUGGUCUUGACAUACACAGAAUCUUGUAGAGAUACGAGAGUGCCUUCGGGAAUUGUGAUACAGGUGCUGCAUGGCUGUCGUCAGCUCGUGUCGUGAGGUGUUGGGUUAAGUCCCGCAACGAGCGCAACCCCUGUGGUUAGUUACCAGCACAUAAUGGUGGGGACUCUAGCCAGACUGCCUACGCAAGUAGUGAGGAAGGUGGGGACGACGUCAAGUCAUCAUGGCCCUUACGUCCAGGGCUGCACACGUGCUACAAUGGUCGGUACAAUGGGUAGCCACCCAGCGAUGGGGCGCAAAUCCAUAAAACCGAUCUCAGUUCGGAUUGGAGUCUGCAACUCGACUCCAUGAAGUUGGAAUCGCUAGUAAUCG